AUCCCAGGAUGGAGGAGUUGUGGUGGUUCUUUUGGAAAAGGCUCCCACCUGCAGGGUCCUGGGAGGAUGUAGGUGGAAUACAGUGGUUUUGUGGUGCCCAGUGCCACAGGGGCUGAGUGAGUCCAAAAUGCUCGAGAGACUGCUCACCUGGGUAAUGUCUUGGGACAGGGGCCAGGAGCACUAGGUCCCCCCAGCAGGAGAAGGCUUGCAGGAGUCGUGCCAGCUGAAGGUGCCUGUGAAGAUCUUGGAGAUGUUUUCCUGAGGAGUCAGCCUUGUGCCAGGGUCUGCCCACUGGGAGCUGGAGAGUCCCACCUGCCUCAAUGUUCAGGAGAUGAUCCCAGCUCUGCCUGGAGGCCUGAUCUGGGCUCUGUGGGGGCUGACACCACAGGGCAGAAGGUGAAGAGCCCGCAGUCAUGGUGUGCCUUCAGGCGGGAGCAGUGCUGGGGCCCUCACCCAGAGCUGUCACAGGUCACAUGUUCAGCUGUGACCAGCAGGGCAGAAGUGCCAGUGCCACCCCUCACCUGCAGACACCUCGUGUUGGUUGUGAGGGAUCCAAACCCUGCUGAGCUGCUGAUCACGCUGCUCCUGGAGACUGUGGAGGCAAGUGGAUGGAGCUGUCCUCAGGUGGAUGCUUACCUCUGAAGAUGGGUGAGGUGGCUCCCACAGGAACUAUCGGGAGAGCUGCAGUAGGGAGCAUCAGGAGAGCCUCGUAUGCACCAGGAGGGACCCAGACUGUGUCCAUGUGCUCCAGUGGCCACUGAAACCAAGGGCAGCCCUUCUGAGGAUUCUGCUGUGUCCAGACCUCAGCUGAAGCCAUUUUGUGUGGCUCAACAACCAGGUGGACUGAGAGCAGCUCCCACGUGGUUGGCCUGAUGCACAUCACUCCAGAGGAGCUGUUCUGCCAUGGGUCACAGCCAGCAGAACCAACCAUGAGCCCAUGCCCUGUGGACAGCUGGACUGAGCCUGGCCUGGCACAGCUGCCUCCAUCCUGACCUGCCCAUCGUGGGUUUGUUACAGCUGCACCAGCUGUAGCUUUUGGUUAGCCUCAUCCAAAACUUCUUGUUGCAUCUUGACAACCCUCAUUAAAUUUGGAGCACCCUGGGGGCUCAGUGGAGAACCUGCCUGUGGGGAAUGCAGGGCUUGGACUGCAGGCAAGACACAGGCUGGGGUUGGUUACUGCUGCAGUUUGUGUCUGGGCAAAUAAUUGGCAUCAGCUUAAGAGACUGACGAGUGAAACUGCCUUCCAGGUGUGAUUCUUCAAGCUCACAAACACAGAAGCAAUUUUGAGUGGUUGCUGUUGAAAAUAGGCAUGAAGAGCUGCUCCUGUGGUGGAGCAAUUGCCACCUGGCUCAGGAUGUGAGGUGUCCCAUUGGAAUAGACCCCUCAGGAGUGGGCUGUGGAAGCCCAGGGCCUUGGCCAGUCAUGCCUGGCCCCUACGAGUACUGGAAGGAUGCAAAAAGGUCUCUCCGGAGCCUUCUCAGGCUGAACAACCACAGCUGUCUCAGCCUAUCUUCACUGGCAAGCUGACCCUUUCCUCUGAUCAUUUUUGGGUCCUUCUCUGGACCUCCUCCAUCAGGUCCAUGUCUUUCCUGUACUGACACCCCAGGGAUGAAUGCAACACUCCAGGUGGGGUCUCACAAGAGUGGGGUAGAGGGGGAGAAUCAUCUCCCUUGACCUGCUGGCUGUGCUGCCUUGGAUGCAGCCCAGGACACGAUUGGCCAUUAGAAGGAAAAGGCAGCAGGGUAGACUCAGACCCACUGGGAGCAUCUGUCCCUGUGCCCUGGGUCAGUCCUUGGUUGUAGCUGAGCUUGGCAGAGGUGGUGCCUGCUCCCUGUCUCUGCUGGACCCCUCCUCUGUGGUCUAGCACGGUGUCUGCCCUACAACACAGACAGCGGCUCGCAAGACCUUCAACCUUUUUCACUUUUCCUUUUUGGAUACCUUUGUGUCUCCCCUUGGACAGAGUCCCACCUUCAGUGGCUGUGGUUUGUGCUGUGUGCAGUUUUGGUUGGUGUCUCUGUUUGAAGGCUGGCCUGGGAUGGUCACAGUGCUGACAAGACUCUGCCCUGCAGGUGCUCCAGGCUGGGAUCCAUCAGUGAGGUCUGGUGAGAGUUUCUGUCGUGGCUAAUGGGGAUUAAUGGUCCAACUUCAAACCCCCUAAACGACAUAUACUCUGUAUCCCUCCCACACACACCCAGUGGCUGAAUCCAGGAUGUGAAAUGAUGCCUUUCAUUUCCUUGUGGCUCUGAGGAUUUCAUGCCCAGCAACAGGACAGGCUGACCAAGGCACUGAGUGAUUACACAGCUGCCUGUGAUGUUCAGGAGCAGCAGCUGGAGAUGCCCCUUCCCACAAUGUCCACGUGCUAGAGCUGAUUACAAACUGCAGGGAAAAGUGGCAGCAGGGCUGGAGAAAUGUGUCACAGAAAAUGUGCUGCUGUCACUGAAGCCUCCCCACGUGGGGAGUGUUGGUGUCAGUGGAGCUCCAGGGAGCCCAGCCCAGCACGGGAGUGGUGCUGUGGGCUCAGGGGAACCUGAGUUUUCCAGAGGGGCUUGAGUGUCCCCAGGCACUUGGAAAAGCACAACAGUGUGCAGUGCUGCUUGAGAAACCGGUGACAAGGGGACAGUUGGCCCUAAGGGAUUAACAGAGGGGAGGCCAAGGAGAAGCCUUGGUCAGAGAAGUCAGGACACCUUUCUGAUGAAGCCAGUUGGAGGAAGAGCACAGAGAGGGGGUUGUGGAAGGGGCAGAGCAGUGGAAAGCCCUGUUCUGCUGCUGGCUUGAGUGAUGGGAGUUUGUGCCUGCUGAGGUACAUUUUUGUAACAGAAAGGAAAACACACAAAACUGACAUUUCUUCCCUUCUUUGGACGGUAGGAAUGUUUUAAUUGAGAAAUUUGUUUUAAUUACAUUAGGUGAUAUCACAGUCUAUUUUACAAGUUGGGGGUAAAAGGAUGUGUGGACCAGUUACACAGAAAUCCAGCGAAAGGAUAAAAAUCUACAACAUGAGAAAAAUGAAAAGGUUAACUUAACCCCAAAAUAAAAGCAUCGAGAGUUUGGUGUGAGUGGAAAUGGGAGAUUAUACCAGGGUCCAGAGAAGUAGAAAGGAUGAGACUAACACAAAUUUACAGUAUUGUUCUGCAUGACCACCGUUUGCCUGUGUUCAGAGACAGCCUCUCUUCCUGAGGGCAUCGCUACGCAGAUGGCCCCGUCUCUGAGGAUUUGGUCUGGUCUUGUCAGAGAAGAAAGCAAAAGAACUGAUGGGCAAAGGUCACAACCCACGCUGAGCUGGUCCCCAGGGUCACUGCCUACAGGAGUGUCUUCCACUGGAUAGUCGGGGGGGUUCUGCACCAAGAACUG